rnacentral:rRNA from 1 species
UACGAAGGGGGCUAGCGUUGUUCGGAAUUACUGGGCGUAAAGCGCGCGCAGGCGGUUCUUCAAGUCAGUGGUGAAAGCCCGGAGCUCAACUCCGGAACUGCCAUUGAAACUGUGGAACUUGAGGAUGAGAGAGGUGAGUGGAAUUCCCAGUGUAGAGGUGAAAUGCGUAGAUAUCGGGAGGAACACCAGUGGCGAAGGCGGUUGCCUGGAGCUUUGCUGACGCUGAGGCGCGAAAGCGUGGGGAGCGAUCCGG